CUGCCCUGGAGCAGGGGCCUCAGAGAGCUUAAAGGCACUUGGCAGUGGAGGAUGCUGAGAGCUGCCUGCAGGAGAAACCUUCCCAGCCCUGUGUGUGGU